GCCGAUGGAAGUGCACCGGUGGCUCCACCGCUACCUGGGACGGACAUGACGAGCAUAUGUUUCAGAGACCAGCUGUGGCUGAAUACUUAUCCGCUCGACAAAAACCUGGUGUUCGACUAUUUUGCACUCUCCCCGUUCUACGAUUGGACCUGCAAUAAUGAACAACUCCGUGCCCGCGCCAUCCACCCGCUGGAUUUUUCUCAUAUCUCGAAAAUGACGGGCAUGGAAUACACGUUGAGUGAAGUAAUGGAGCCUAAUCUCUUUGUCAUCCGUAAGCAA
rnacentral:misc_RNA from 1 species